rnacentral:lncRNA from 1 species
AGGACUUAAACCUUUAUGAGGUCAGAACUGGGGAGUUUUUCCCUUGAUUGACAGUGACCUCACAAGCCAGCAAGACAAUUAAUUAGCUCCUGUUUAUCCAAGUGAGCCAGGAAGGCAAUGGACUACACCUGAAUUCCACUCAUUCUGUGUUGGUACAGAGAGGCCUGACAAACUAACAGUGAUAUACAAGAAUUCCUGCUUAAAAUAAAAAAAAAAGUGUUUCCUACAGUUUUAAUGAGCUGGUGUUUGCCCAGUACACUCAGCUAUGGUGUGUGCUGGCCUGUCUAGCUGAUGGCGCAAAUUGCAGAUGUAUCGCAUCCAGACUUUCAGAGAGACAGAAGGGGAAUUGCCAUGUCCACAGCCUUCUCAGACUUCCUUCCAGAUAAACACACACACAGAACAUGAUGAAACAAGAAUUUUCGCAAAGGAA